AACGAACGUUAGCGGCGCGCCUAACACAUGCAAGUCGAGCGAGAAAGGGCUUCGGCCCCGGUAAAGCGGCGCACGGGUGAGUAACACGUGGAUAACCUACCCCUUGGUGGUGGAUAACCUUCCGAAAGGAGGCUAAUACAGCGUAAGACCACGACUUCGAAAGAGGUUGGGGUAAAAGUGGGCCUCUGUACACAAGCUCACGCCAGGGGAUGGGUCCGCGGCCCAUCAGCUAGUUGGUAGGGUAACGCCUACCAAGGCGAAGACGGGUAGCUGGUCUGAGAGGAUGAUCAGCCACACUGGAACUGAGACACGGUCCAGACUCCUACGGGAGGCAGCAGUGGGAAUCUUGCGCAAUGGACAAAGUCUGACGCAGCGACGCCGCGUGAGUGAUGAAGGCC
rnacentral:rRNA from 1 species